rnacentral:rRNA from 1 species
UACGUAGGGGGGCAAGCGUUGUCCGGAUUUAUUGGGCGUAAAGAGCGUGUAGGCGGCCAUGUAGGUCCGUUGUGAAAACUCGAGGCUCAACCUCGAGACGCCGAUGGAAACCAUGUGGCUAGAGUCCGGAAGAGGAGAGUGGAAUUCCUGGUGUAGCGGUGAAAUGCGCAGAUAUCAGGAAGAACACCCGUGGCUAAGGCGGCUCUCUAGUACGGUACUGACGCUGAGACGCGAAAGCGUGGGGAGCAAACAGG